rnacentral:rRNA from 1 species
UACAGAGGAUGCAAGCGUUAUCCGGAAUGAUUGGGCGUAAAGCGUCUGUAGGUGGCUUUUUAAGUCUGCCGUCAAAUCCCAGGGCUUAACCCUGGACAGGCGGUGGAAACUACCAAGCUGGAGUACGGUAGGGGCAGGGGGGAAUUUCCGGUGGAGCGGUGAAAUGCGUAGAGAUCGGAAAGAACACCAACGGCGAAAGCACUCUGCUGGGCCGACACUGACACUGAGAGACGAAAGCUAGGGGAGCGAAUGGG